rnacentral:rRNA from 1 species
AGGAUGAACGCUGGCGGCGUGCCUAACACAUGCAAGUCGAACGUCCUGUCUCGCAAGAGGCAGGGAGUGGCGGACGGGUGAGUACCACGUGGGUCAUCUACCGUGAGGUGAGGAAUACCGGCGAGAAAUCGCCGACAAGACCGCAUAGGCUCGAUGCAAGUCGAGCAAAGCUCUUUCGAGAGAGGGAGCGCCACACGAGGAGCCUGCGCCCGAUUAGCUAGCUGGUGGAGUAACGGUUCACCAGGGCGACGAUCGGUAGCUGGUCUGAGAGGACGAUCAGCCACACUGGGAUUGAGAACGGCCCAGACUCCUACGGGGGGCAGCAGUGAGGAUUUUCGCAAUGGGGCAACCUGAACGAGCAACGCCGCGUGCAGGAGAAGGUUUUCGGAUCGUAAACUGCUUUUCGUCGGGUAAGAGAACGGACGGUACCCGAGGAAUCAGCCCCGGCUAACUACGUGCCAGCAGCCGCGGU